rnacentral:rRNA from 1 species
UACGUAGGGUGCAAGCGUUGUCCGGAAUUAUUGGGCGUAAAGAGCUUGUAGGCGGUUUGUCGCGUCUGCUGUGAAAUUUCGGGGCUCAACCCCGAACUUGCAGUGGGUACGGGCAGACUAGAGUGUGGUAGGGGAGACUGGAAUUCCUGGUGUAGCGGUGAAAUGCGUAGAUAUCUGGAGGAACACCGGUGGCGAAGGCGGCAUCCUGGACCGGUAUUGACACUGAGGCGCGAAAGCCAGGGAGCAAACGGG